UACGGAGGGAGCUAGCGUUUGUUCGGAGUAUAACUGGGCGUAAAGCGGCACGUAGGCGGGCGCAGCAAGUCAGGGGUGAAAUCCCGGAGCUCAACUCCGGAACUGCCUUUGAAACUGCAGUGCUAGAAUCCUGGAGAGGCGAGUGGAAUUCCGAGUGUAGAGGUGAAAUUCGUAGAUAUUGGGAAGAACACCAGUGGCGAAGGCGGCUCACUGGUCCGAUACUGACGCGUGAGGUGGCGAAAGCGUGGGGAGCAAACAGG
rnacentral:rRNA from 1 species